rnacentral:lncRNA from 1 species
GAAAAAUGUGCAUGAAUCAUGUCUUCAUGUCUGUGCACAUGACCUGGUUUCAAGUUUUUUCUGUCAAAAUUAGAGCUUUUUUCCCCCAUGUUCAUUGGAUGGAAUGUUUAUAAUAUAUUAAAAGUACACAUUAUUUUUAUUUCAUUAUAAACUAGAGAACAUUCUGAUUCCAGUGAUAUCAAGUUUUAUACAAGUAUCUUUAUUAAUCAGUCCACCACUAAGGGUCACUUAUGCAUGGUCCCUAAAAAUGUGACGUCAUAGAAAAAAACUGUUGAUUGCAC